AAAACUGCGAAUGGCUCGGUAAAUCAGUUAUAGUUUAUUUGAUAGUGCAAAGCUACUCGGAUAACCGUAGUAACACUAGAGCUAAUACGUGCGUAAAUCCCAACUUUUGGAAGGGACGUAUUUAUUAGAUUUAUGGCUAACCGGGCUUGCCCGACCAGCGGUGAAUCAUGGUAACUUGACGGAUUGCAUGGCCUUCGUGCUGGCGACGUGUCAUUCAAGUUUCUGCCCCAUCAGGUUUCGACUGUAGUGUAUUGGACUACAGUGCCUAUAACGGGUAGCGGAGGAUUAGGGUUCGAUUCCGGAGAGGGAGCCUGAGAAACGGCUACCACAUCCAAGGAAGGCAGCAGGCGCGCAAAUUACCCAAUCCCAAUUCAGGGAGGUAGUGACAAGAAAUAGCAAUGCGGAGCUUCGUGUUCUGCAAUUGGAAUGAGAACAAUUUAAACCACUUAACGAGUAUCAAUUGGAGGGCAAGUCUGGUGCCAGCAGCCGCGUAAUUCCAGCUCCAAUAGCGUAUAUGUAAGUUGUUGCGAUUAAAAAGCCCGUAGCUGAACCUCGGGUAGCCCUGACGGUCCGCCUAAGGUGAGUACUGUCGUGGGCUGCCUUUCUGCUGGGUGCCGUAUCCGGCGUUUACUCGCCGUGAACGGAGCCCAGCAAGGUUACUUUGAGUAAAAUAGAGUGUUCAAAGCAAGCCUGUGCUCUGAAUACACUAGCAUGGGAUAACACGACAUGACCGAUGGUCUAUCUUGUUGGCCUGUAGACCCGUUGGUAAUGGCUAAUAGGGACGGUCGGGGGCAUUCGUAUUUCGCUGUCAGAGGUGAAAUUCUUGGAUUUGCGAAAGACGAACUACUGCGAAAGCAUUUGCCAARGACGCUUUCAUUAGUCAAGGACGAAAGUCGGGGGAUCGAAGACGAUUAGAUACCGUCGUAGUCUCGACCAUAAACGAUGCCAAUUAGGGAUUGGAGGGCGGAUAAAUAUGCCUCCUCCAGCACCUUCCGCGAAAGCAAAAUUUAUGGGCUUCGGGGGGAGUAUGGUCGCAAGGCUGAAACUUAAAGGAAUUGACGGAACGGCACCACCAGGCGUGGAGCUGCGGCUUAAUUUGACUCAACACGGGAAAACUUACCAGGUCCAGACAGAAGUAGGAUUUACAGAUUGAUAGCUCUUUAAAGAUUUUUUGGAUGGUGGUGCAUGGCCGUUCUUAGUUCGUGGAUUGAUUUGUCAGGUUGAUUCCGGUAACGGACGAGACCCCAACCUACUAACUAGCUCUGCUUGAAUCUCAGGCAGCCAGUCUUCUUAGAGGGACUCUCGGAAUGAAACCGAAGGAGGUGGGGCAAUAACAGGUCUGUGAUGCCCUUAGAUGUCCUGGGCCGCACGCGCGCUACACUGAUGCAUUCAACGAGCCAACCCUGUGCCGAGAGGUACGGGUAAUCUGCGAAAGUGCAUCGUGAUGGGGCUAGAUUAUUGCAAUUUAUUGAUCUUCAACGAGGAAUGCCUAGUAAGCGCGAGUCAUCAACUCGSUUGAUUACGUCCCUGCCGUUUGUACACACCGCCCGUCGCUCCUACCGAUUGGGUGUGCUGGUGAAAUGUUCGGAUUGGACGGCCUUCCGUCAGGGGCAGUUUGAGAAGUUCAUUGAACCCUCUCACCUAGAGGAAGGAGAAGUCGUAACAAGGUCUCCGUAGGUGAACCUGCGGAGGGAUCCAUAGC
rnacentral:rRNA from 1 species